GGUGCCACCUUACAAAAGGAUGGGUGUACGCUCUCUUUUCAGAUUUGGGGUUUUUUUUUUCUGUUCUAGAUGUGGUUCAUCUCAAAGCCCUUUACACUUUGGAGCCAGGCCUGUUCAAUUUUACAAAUAACACGUUUUGCUUGUAGUCAGGGUGCUGUGACAACAUGAAGAGUUCGAGCUACCUCCCAGGAUGAGUGCAGGUUUUCCUGGUGACAAAUCUCAGGCAUUCAAAGGUUCUGUUAGCAGUGCCAUACUUGUGGGUUUACAGAGAUGGUGUGUCUGGCUGAGAACAAAGGAGCCGUACCAGGAAAGUUGAAGCAUAUCUUCAUUUUCAAGUCCAGGCUAAAAUAAGGUCUGAGGAAAAGAAUGAGCUGCGUGUGAAGGAUAGGAACAGAAAUCAUGAAAGAUCUGUUUGUCCAGGCCAGUGUUUCACCAUAAGAGAUCACUUUAAAAUAAAUGAUGAAAUAAUUCUUUGCAAUUGCAAAUUUACCUUCC
ensembl:processed_transcript Snhg1 small nucleolar RNA host gene 1